UGUGGCCUGACCAUUUGCAGCCAAGUUUGCGAAUUACUUCCCUAAGAGAACCUGGCUCUUCCCUGAAGACCCCACUUCUCUAAGGGCCCUCAGAAGAAGUGGGUGAUUCCUGAGCAUGUAACUACAAUCAGACUCCACCUUGGAAGAGGCAAAGAAAUGACACAAUCAAAAUAGCAAAACCUCUGAACACCUGGACAGAACAGAACUUCUCUCCCAAGAAAGUCCUCAAGGAAACAUGUGAACAAGUUAUAACAGGCCCUUGAUCAGGAAAUGUUUAACAUGGGAGUAAGUAUUGCCAGGGAUUAGUGGCUGCUGCUUGGAAAGGUUGAUGGAAGUUCUUUCCUGCCAGUACAAAAAUAUACAUCAUCAAAGCGCAAGACUGUGUCCACAGACAGGAUUACAUGUGAGCUGAAAAGACCCAGAUGGUUUGGAGACAAAUAGCUCUCUGUUGACAGCCACGUGACUUGAGUCUCUCUGAGCCCUUCCUGUGUUUUGAGACUGGUCUAUGACUGGUUGACGUGAUGCUUAUGAAGUCAGAUUUCAAAUCCCAAGUGAGCCCGUC